GUGAGUUUGAGAAUCUGAACAACAGCAACCAUGAGCUUCAUCACCAUCUUCAUCUGGAUCUUCACCAGCUACUGUUUCACAGAAUCAGCAGCUGGAGUGACAGUCACUCAGACGCCUGCAGUGAAACCUGUCCAACCAGGAGACAAAGUUACUAUGUCCUGUAAAACCAGUCCUGAAGUUUACCAGGGUUGGGGUGUUCAGCAUUUACACUGGUACUUACAGAAACCUGGAGAAGCUACUAAACUCCUGAUUUAUUAUGCUAAAGAUCUCUACACUGGAACUCCAUCUAGAUUCAGUGGCAGUGGAUCUAACAGUGAUUUCACUCUGACCAUAAGUGGAGUCCAGACUGAAGAUGCUGGACAUUAUUACUGUCAGAGUGCACACUACAUCAGUAGUAGCUGGGUGUUCACACAGUGA